CGAUGCCAAAUCGGGUUUUUUUUCUGUUAGUUGCGAAUGUAUUCGUUAUAGUAGUUAAUUUGCUAGUCCACGGGAUGUUCCCGCCGAAAUUGGACUUCGUUAUUAUGAAUAUUAAUAAAUUAAUAUGAGGUGUGUUUUUAUCAACUUAAACACUUGGUUGUUUUUGCUUCAGAAAAGCAACUAGUUAUAAAUGUAAGGGCUUUUUUGGACAACUUCGGUGAAAAAGUGUUGAUUUCGUAGUUCAGUCAGCGUAACUUAUAUCCGAGAGGUCUUACAGGCGCCACACAGACACCUAUCAGCCUUUUGUAAGGAGGAGCAGCUCGAGUGCGGUGCGAGCCCUUCAAAUUAGAAAAGUGAGGAUGAUCUUGUCAAUGCUGAGAUUUUCAUGCAUCAGCAGCCACUACAUCUGGAUCAGAUUGAACAAGAAACAGACAGCAAGGGUUGUCAGAUCAGAAACAGAAUGACACAAAAACACAAGAAACUUCACAGGCAGAUCAACAUGCAAUUUGAAGACGUGUGAUAAAAUACAGAGAGGUGAAGUAGUGUGUCUUUCCAGAUCCCCAAAUCAUUCCCCCUUAAAAGAUGAGCCUGAAGAGGAGAUUUGGGAAGAUGCUGUUUCAUAAGUCGCUUUGCCAGAUCACCUGUGGUCGGGAUGUCUGCUAACAAGAUGCCUUGCUGGUCUGAGCGAGUUCAAAGUCUUACACAGACAGUCCAGAAGUUCUGAAGUCCAUCUUUGAUUUCA